UGUGAUUUAGUUUAUAAAUUUGUUUUGGUUUUUUGGUUUGCUGCCGCUACAUUUUGUGGCCGGAUUUUCGAGUACUAACUGAUGCCGCUGCGCACGGGAGACAACAGCGGCGGAGGUCCUUUGCUUGCCGCAAUUCUCUUGACCAACCUGGUCUUACGCAGCUGAUUCGUCACUAUCAAGAUCUAUUUCCCUAUACCCUUACACGGAUCUGGUAAUCUCUUCUUUGUUACCUAAUUUCUCGUGUUUCUUUCAGGAGAGCUGGUGAUGAGGAAAAGAUACGUUUACGAAUGAGUUAGUUGUCUUCCGAGAUUAGCUCAGCAGAUUCGGUCACCUGGCUGCAGACGAGCAUUGCAAGACUAAUCCCCAAUUUUUAUUGCUGCUGCAGUUUGAAACAAGCAUGCUUUCUUGAUUUCGUUGGGGAGGGUGAUACGGCUGUUUUUUUGUGCCUGCUACAUAGGCAUUCAGGAAGCACAGUAAGCACUCGAGCACCACUCGACAUCUUGCUCUGUAGCCAGCCAACAUCAUUCUGCUCUGCCACUGUCAAUCUCUAUUCUGCUUCUGAUGAUCCGUGCACCAAGAUAUGAUCCAACUCCGCUGCUGCAGUAUCAAUCGGAUGCACCCCUCUUUCAGAAUCAGCGACUUGGAGUCUUGCACCAGUUCAGAAGGAUGCGGUCUUUCCAGGUUCUAGAGAUUGGUAUUGAUGGUUGGGAUGAAAAUAAGAUAAGCACGUCUCUAAUGAAAGCACACAGAAAUGUACGCGCUUUCUCUUUUACCAAGCUUAGUUCUGUAUAAGUAUCAUGUUUCAGGUCAGUGGGAUGAGGGCACAGUCAAUGCUUUUUUUUCGCUCCAAAUACGGUUACAAAAAUCAAACAGAUACCACUGCCUAUAAGUGAGCUAGAUGAUUUUGUUUCCUGGCCUUAUACUAAAUUUGGUGAAUAUUCUGUGAAGUCAGCGUAUAAUUUUGCAAGAAUCUCUUCUUUUGCCUCCUUCCGAAGUAAGCCUGGAUCUGGUUUCAACUUUUGCGGAACAGAAUUGGAAGAUGUGAGGUCUAUUAAACCUCCGAGCAAGAUAAAAAUAAUACUUUGGCGAGCUGUUCAUAAUUGUUUGGCUACGGGGCAUCAGCUUCAGAGGCGACAUAUUCCUGCUAACUCUAUAUGUUGUUUCUGUGGCCGCGUAGAGAAAGUUGAGCAUUGUUCUUAAUGUGCCUUUUUGCUAUGACUGUGUGGGAUGUUAUCAAAAAAACAGUUUGAUUUUCAGUUACAAAGGAAAUAUCUUUGUAAUGAUAAACAGUGGUUUUUUGAUUUGCCAAAUCGUUGCAAUGAGGUGCAGCGUGUGGCGGUGACCGUUACCUGCUGGCAUAUCUGGGAAGCCCGAAAUGAAACUAGAAAUUCUAAAAUUACAGUGUGUCCCAACUCCCAAGGCGACAAUCAAGAAAUACAAGCUUAUGUUGAUAUGAUAGUUCUGCAUUGUUUGAAGCUGAGUCAUCACUCAUCAAGGUGUGUGCAGUUCCUAAACAUAUUCAGAAAUGGACUCCACCGCCGGCUGGUUGGCUUUGCCUCAAUGUGGAUGCAGUCUUCUCUUCUUCAUCAAGUUCAGCAGCUGUUGUCGUUGUGCGAGACCAUAUGGCAGAUGUUUGAUGGGUUGCCGCCGGUCUUUUCAGGGCAUUACUGUGCGUGAGGAUGCGGAAGCACUUGCUCUUCGGUGUGUUAUGGUUCUUGCUCUUGUUGAAGGUUUUCACAAAGUGAUUAUCCAGUCAGAUUGCUUGUCACUAAUCCAGAAAGGCAUUGUCCCUAAUAGGGACUGCUCUGUGAUUAGUCCUUUUGUUGCUGAUAUCAAGUCUUUAGCUACCAAAUUUGUUUGUAUUACUUUUUCUUCAUGUAAACCGUAGUGCUAAUGAGGUGGCUCAUUUGUUGGCUAGGGAGGGUGAGCUCAUUGCUUACUCAAUCUUCCGACAUUAUGUUCCUGGUUGCAUCCAGGAUGUUGUAAACUCUGAAAGUUUGUGUUAAUGCAUGGGCUGACCUUGAUCUAAAAAAAAGCUUACUUCAGUA